rnacentral:rRNA from 1 species
AUCAUGGCUCAGGAUAAACGCUGGCGGCGUGCUUAACACAUGCAAGUCGAACGGAGUGGUUCUCCCGAAGACCUGAAGAGCUUGCUCAGAUGGAAUUCAUUUGAAUCACUUAGUGGCGGACGGGUGAGUAACGCGUGGGUAACCUACCCUAUACUGGGGGGAUAGCAGUUGGAAACGACUGAUAAUACCGCAUAAGCGCACAAUACUGCAUGGUAUAGUGUAGAAAAACUCCGGUGGUAUAGGAUGGACCCGCGUCUGAUUAGCUAGUUGGUGAGGUAACGGCCCACCAAGGCGACGAUCAGUAGCCGGCCUGAGAGGGUGUACGGCCACAUUGGGACUGAGACACGGCCCAAACUCCUACGGGAGGCAGCAGUGGGGAAUAUUGGACAAUGGGGGCAACCCUGAUCCAAGCGACGCCGCGUGAACGAAGAAGUAUCUCGGUAUGUAAAGUUCUAUCAGCAGGGAAGAUAAUGACGGUACCUGACUAAGAAGCACCGGCUAAAUACGUGCCAGCCGCGGC